rnacentral:tRNA from 1 species
AACCAUCACUUAAACUAUGUCUUGAAAACAUAAGUAAAAGGCUAAAGACCUUUAAUGGUUU